UCUCCUUUUCCUGCUGUGAUGAAAACAGAGAGAGAUCUGCCGAAUCGGUGCUGAAAAUCUCAAAGGGAUGAGAACGUGGUAACUUAUGUCCCAAAGAAGAUGGAAGCAUCACAGGACUAUACAUGCUGAAGGAAAAGACAAAAUGUAUCAAACAGAGAGUGACUCACAGGGCUGGCACACCUGCAGCAAUCAAACUGACCCUUACCUUCUGUAAAAGCCAAAUAGCAAUCGGCCAGUAGCACUUCAAUUAUAACUCAUUCUGUGAAUUGACACUAAACUACCUGCACUUCUCCCUCCCAGCCUGUGCAGCUUCUCCUUCCAAGAGAGAGCUGGCCAUGGAAAAUUUACAACUGGAAUUCAUCCUAAUCAAAGUUUUAUUACACGACAGAAGAAACAGCCAGGCCAGUCUAAGAAAUGACUGACUCUCAUCUGCCUCCACUGUAAUUUAUUGAUCUUUCAGCACAACUGGAGAAACAAAUUCACAGCUGAUAUAGUGCCAGUUUCUUAAGAGAAAACCUGCUGGCAGCAGCACGUGU